rnacentral:rRNA from 1 species
CACGUAGGGGGCAAGCGUUGUCCGGAUUCAUUGGGCGUAAAGAGCUCGUAGGCGGUUCGAUAAGUCGGGUGUGAAACCUCCAGGCUCAACCUGGAGACGCCACCCGAUACUGUCGUGACUAGAGUCCAGUAGGGGAGCGUGGAAUUCCUGGUGUAGCGGUGAAAUGCGCAGAUAUCAGGAGGAACACCGGUGGCGAAGGCGGCUUUCUGGGCCUUACCUGACGCUGAGGAGCGAAAGCUGGGGGAGCGAACAGG